UUCGAGUGGCGACGGGUGAGUAACGCGUGGGUAACCUGCCUUACACGGGGGGAUAACACCUGGAAACAGGUGCUAAUACCGCAUAAGCGCACAGGGCCGCAUGGCCCGGUGUGAAAAACUCCGGUGGUGUAAGAUGGACCCGCGUCUGAUUAGCUUGUUGGCGGGGUAGGGGCCCACCAAGGCGACGAUCAGUAGCCGGCCUGAGAGGGUGGACGGCCACAUUGGGGCUGAGACACGGCCCAAACUCCUACGGGAGGCAGCAG
rnacentral:rRNA from 1 species